AUCAGCACUAUGUUGUCAGGUGCCGACCUCACUAUUCAGUGACUAGGUGAAACUGGGAAACAGGUGCGUUUCGUCGCAAUUAGACAGAGCAAUCCCUGUGCUGCCCCCGCAACGGUAAUUACGUGUGGUUAAUCCAUACGCCACUGUGAAGCAUCUUCAUGGGAAGGCGGAUUAACAAAACGUAUGAGCCCGGAGACCGGCCUGAAAACAUUUAACGCA
rnacentral:ncRNA from 2 species